rnacentral:rRNA from 1 species
GAAUUCGGCUUCGGUAAUUCCAGCUCCAAUAGCGUAUACUAAUACUGUUGCUGUUAAAAAGCUCGUAGUUCGACAAGGAUUGGAUCUGGUUCUGAUUCAGCGACUCGUAACUCUGUUGCAGUCGUUCGAUGAAGGCCGUUUGGAUCCGAUUCUGCAAUGAGGGACUUGUAUGGAUGAAGAGCUCUUCAUUGAGCUUGGAUUCGCUUCCGCAGUCAACAUCUGCAUGCGUACAGUCCUUCGCGAUACCGUGAACAAAACAGCGUGCUCAAAGCAAGUGAUUCUGCUCGAAUGUUCAAGCAUGGAAUAUCAAGGAAGCGACCGUGAGUCUAAUCUUUGCUGGUUUCUGUAUGUUCCUUGAGGAAUUGAGCCUGAGAAUAGCGUUCUGUCCUGCAAGUUACUUUCGAGUGCUUCGGGCCAAGUACGAUGCUCUAGUUUACCGGUAUUAACGGGGAUGAGCGGAGCAGUGUGUAUUGGUUGCGUUAGAGGUGAAAUUCUUAGAUCGCACCAAGACAGACAUAAGCGAAGGCAUUCUGCAAGUAUAUCUUCAUUAAUCAAGAACGAGAGUGCAGGGAUCGAAGAUGAUCAGAUACCGUCGUAGUCUGCUACUGUAAACGAUGCGAACUCGGGAUCAGCUGUCGCCAAUCAUUUUGAUUACCAGGCUGGAACCUACUUAUUCUCUCUUAGCGCGAAAGCUUUAAGUUUAUGCGUUCAGGGGGGAGUACAGUUGCAAGGCUGAAACUUAAAGGAAUUGACGGAAUGACACCACAAGGCGUGGGUGCUGCGGCUUAAUGUGACUCAACACGGGAAAUCUUACCAGGUCAGGACGCACGUUGGAUUGACAGAUUGAAAGCUCUUUCUUGAUUGUGUAUGGUGGUGCAUGGCCGCUCUUUGUUCGUGGAUUGAUUUGUCUGGUUGAUUCCGGUAACGAACGAGAUCUUGACCUUUUAAUGACAGUUAGAUCGCUUGUAGUCCAAUGUUCAUGCGCUUGCGUAUUGUCGUUGUGCGAGAUCUUGGCAUGUACUUAAAGGGACUAUGCGUGUUGACAGUGCAUGGAAGUGAAAGCCUAUAGCAGGUCUGUGAUGCCCCUAGAUGUUCUGGACUGCACGCGGCAUACAAUGGUGAAGAAAACGAGUUUGGUUUGUUUGAGCUCCCUGUGAGAAAUCAUUGGGAAAUCUGUGUAACCUUCAUCGUAUUGGGGAUCGUUGCUUGCAAUUAUUUGCCUUGAACCAGGAAUGCCUUGUAGACUCGACUCAGCAAGUCGAAUCGAAUACGUCCCUGCCGUUUGUACACACCGCCCGUCGUUGCAAUCGAUCGGUUCAAUGCUAGAGGUUCUCUAGAGGUGAGACCUGACGACUUGUCUGAAGGCCUUGCUUAGUUAAUCAAUAGCCUUGAACUAGAGAAUGCAAAAGUCGUAACAAGGUAAGCCGAAUUC